rnacentral:rRNA from 1 species
GACGAACGCUGGCGGCGUGCUUAACACAUGCAAGUCGAACGGAAAGGCCCUGCUUUUGUGGGGUGCUCGAGUGGCGAACGGGUGAGUAACACGUGAGUAACCUGCCCUUGACUUUGGGAUAACUUCAGGAAACUGGGGCUAAUACCGGAUAGGAGCUCCUGCUGCAUGGUGGGGGUUGGAAAGUUUCGGCGGUUGGGGAUGGACUCGCGGCUUAUCAGCUUGUUGGUGGGGUAGUGGCUUACCAAGGCUUUGACGGGUAGCCGGCCUGAGAGGGUGACCGGCCACAUUGAGACUGAGAUACGGCCCAGACUCCUACGGGAGGCAGCAGUGGGGAAUAUUGCACAAUGGGCGGAAGCCUGAUGCAGCAACGCCGCGUGCGGGAUGACGGCCUUCGGGUUGUAAACCGCUUUCGCCUGUGACGAAGCGGGAGUGACGGUAAUGGGUAAAGAAGCACCGGCUAACUACGUG